rnacentral:tRNA from 1 species
GGGAAUUUAGCUCAGUUGGUAGAGUGCUUGCCUCCCAUGCACAAGGCCCUGGCUUCAAUUCCCA